GACGAACGCUGGCGGCGUGCUUAACACAUGCAAGUCGAGCGGUAAGGCCCUUUCGGGGGUACACGAGCGGCGAACGGGUGAGUAACACGUGAGCAACCUGCCCUUCUCUUUGGAAUAAGCGUUGGAAACGACGUCUAAUGCCGAAUAUGACCCCCUGUCGCAUGGCGGGGGGUGGAAAGCUCUGGCGGAGAAGGAUGGGCUCGCGGCCUAUCAGCUUGUUGGUGUAGGUAAUGGCCCACCAAGGCGACGACGGGUAGCCGGCCUGAGAGGGUGACCGGCCACACUGGGACUGAGACACGGCCCAGACUCCUACGGGAGGCAGCAGUGGGGAAUAUUGGACAAUGGGCGAAAGCCUGAUCCAGCAACGCCGCGUGAGGGAUGACGGCCUUCGGGUUGUAAACCUCUUUCAGCAGGGACGAAGCGAGAGUGACGGUACCUGCAGAAGAAGGACCGGCCAACUACGUGCCAGCAGCCGCAGUAAAAC
rnacentral:rRNA from 1 species